rnacentral:lncRNA from 1 species
AUACAUAAAAAAAAGAGAAGACAAGGUUUUUCUCUCGAUCUCUAGUAUAGAGAUCAUAUGCGUGGUUCUAGAAAGAAAAAGAGAGGAUCUCUUUGUUCUUCUUCAUCUUCCUCUACGUCUGCCUGUUCUUCUUCUUUUCUAAGAGAGUCUUAAGAGAAAAGAAGAGUUCUCUUCAACCAUCAAGAUGUGAUCUCUGCAAGAGAGCUAGCAUCCCAAUG